GGGUGUGAUCAUACCAGCAGUAAUGCACCGGAUCCCAUUAGAACUCCGAAGUUAAUCAUGCUUGUGAGAUAGUAGUACGAGGAUGGGUGACCUCCUAGGAAGACCUCGUGUUGCACCCC
rfam:Gossypium hirsutum cultivar TM-1 unplaced genomic scaffold scaffold4672.1, whole genome shotgun sequence